GGGGCAGUGAGUUCUCAUCAAGAGCCAGUGGACUCUCAUCCAUCUCUUCUGCCUAAAACAUUAGGAUCCUAAUUAUGAGGCCUCUACAAAGUGAAUUCCACUCAAGAACACAGGUAAUGGAGAUGGAGAAGCUAUUUUCUUUUUCAUGGUAUACAACGAAUUUGAUCAUUCCAUUGCCACUUGACACUGUCAGGAAUCCAGCUGAGAGGUGGAAAAAUCCAUUCCUGACUGCAAUGGUGAAGUGGAUGCAUGGAAUACCCAGCAAGGUCCUGGCAGACAAGGUCUUGUUGGCCCUGAUAAAUUGAUGAUGGUGGCAGGAGGACUCACUCCCUCCACAGGUCCUGGAUAAGCCAGAGCAUGCAGUGGCAGACAAAAGAAGGUGAAACCAGCAUGUAUGUGCCUCUCAUAAGUGCUUUCCCUAUGUUCAUAAAUUGUCAUUUAAUUUGAAUAACAACCAAUUAAAAAAUGAUUGUGAAGCCAUUAAACA
rnacentral:lncRNA from 1 species